rnacentral:lncRNA from 1 species
UGGCGUGUGUGUGUGUGUCGCCCCAAGCAGGAGAAAAAGAGGAGAAACCCUAAAAUCCUUGAAGUUGCAAAAUUGAGAAGGGAAAUUGAAGCUAAUCAUAUGCAUGAAUCUGAAUGUGCAACCAUUUAAGCCUACUAAUCAAGUGGCAUAGGGAUCAUGUGGAAAUGGACUCAAGAACGGAAGGUUAACGGGUUAAGCGGAGGCGAGGAAGCAAGCAUGAACACUAACGCUCGAGGUAAGUGAUUCUAAUUUCACUUUUUAGCUUGUUUAAAUAAGGUAUUGUUCUAGAUAAUUGAGUAUGUUACGAAGUCAAACAUGGAUUUGGUUGAAUGAAAACGAUGGUUCUCGCUAAGUAGAUCGAAUGUGUCAAAUGAAGUUUUGUUGUCAUAACAUAAUGAAGUGUAAGUAAGUUCCGAACCUCUUUUUAGUAUUUAGAAAGAUUUGUUAAUUUUUUCAUAUGUUGCGAAUAGUGAGAUAUGUAAGAACGUAAGAUCAGAUGAAGUUCUAAGUUUAGUUUUGUGGUAAUGGGUCAAAAAUGUUAACUAAGUCGAAAAGUGUGUAUUAAAGAUCAAAUGGGUCAAAAACUAGGUAGCGGGGUAAGGUAAGGAUUCGACCAUUAAGGCAUGAUUGUUAGUAUUAGAAUGAUUUAGGGGCUUGGACAAAUGUUAUUUUACGUUUUGGGACGCUCGGGGUGCACGAACAGGGGUCGAAACGGUGAAAAUAAGCAAAAAAAAAACGGAGAGCAGAUCUGCAGAGGGGCGUCCCCGACGCCGCUACCAGCGUCGCCGACGCUGGUGGGUUUUGGCCGACGCCCUAUGUUGCUAGUUAAGUCAGUUUCUUUGUUUUCUUUGAUUCUCGGGCCCCGUAAGCCCAUUCCUAAGCCCCGUUAGACCCCCGUCAUGCACCCUAACUUUACCAAAUAGUUGUGUGAGUUAUGGAUGAGUAAGGAACCCGUUUUAAAGCUUCCGAAAUGCAACCCAAAUUUAAGAGAGAGUUUUUAUCAAGUAUGGGUAAGAAGGGAACUUGCUCGUGGGUAUGCAUAAGGAUAAAAUAAGUAGUUAUACAUGUGGGUAUGUGUUUGAUUGUAUGUAAGUAAUUGGAACUCGUAGGUGAGUAUGACUAUGAACGCGUAAGUAUGGAGAUUUAUGUGUAUGUAAUUUACAUGUAUAGACGUGUGUGUUUAGGGCUUGCAUGUAAUAUUGUGUAAGAUGUAAAUUGUAAGUUUUUGUACGAACAGAAAGGUAUGUAUGCAUGGAUUGGAAUUUAAAUAUAUGCACGAAUGAAUGAGACUUGUUUAUGCGUAUAUGUGGACUUAUUCAUAUGAAUGAAAUCUAACGAUGCUAACCGUUUUUCUAUUGAGAAUGAAAUGGAAGUGCAGGUAUGCAAAUAAUGGAAGUUGUAGGUUUGACACAAAAUCCAAUGAUGGUGUUCGAAUGGAUGGAUGAAUGGAUUAACAUAAGCGAAAGCAUGAGAUGUCGACGCCUAACUAUGUUGCGUGGAUUUAGCAUCAUUAUGAAGGAUAGAAAGAUUGAAGAUCGAGUCAAGAGCAAAGGAUUGUACGGGAAAGAUCGGUCACAUAGUUUAGCAAAUGUAGGUCCGAAGUAUUAAUAUAAUGGAACGUGGUAAAUCCUUUUUAAUGAAUGUAUGACAUUUGAUAUUCAAACUUUCCUGUAAGUAUAUGUCUAUUAAAGAACGAAAUUUUUGG